rnacentral:misc_RNA from 1 species
UGAAUUGCGAUAACUAAUGUGACUUGCAUAACUCUGUGAAUCAUCUAGUCUUUGAACGCACAUGGCGCUCAUGGCCUCGGUCGUGAGCAUACCUGUUUGAGAAUCGUAUGCAUGAUCCGCACUGUUGUGCGGGACUUGGGCGUCUACUUUGCGGUAGUUGUCUGGAAUGCAGUGGGUGUGCUGUGGGAUAGGGUGUAGUAGAAGCAGUCGCUUUCUCGCUCUUGCUCACAAACGCUCCCAUCAACAUCUAUUUACUUUUGAUCUCAAAUCAGGCAAGACUACCCGCUGAACUUAA